rnacentral:lncRNA from 1 species
CCCGAUUCUUCUUUAAAUGUCUGGUAGAAUUCUGCUGUGACUCUGUCUGGCCCUGAACUUUUCUGGUUUUGGUAGUGGUGGUAAUUUUUUAAUUAACAUUUCAGUCUUGCUGCCUGUUAUUCAUCUGUUCAGGGUAUCUAAUUUUUCCUGAUUUAAACUAGGAGCAUUGUAUUUUUCCAGGACUUUAUCCAUCUCUUCUAGGUUUCCUAGUUUACGUGUGCAAAGUUGUUCAUAGUACCCUUGAAUGAUCUUUUGUAUUUCAAUGGUGUCAGUUAUAGUAUCUCCUGUUUCGUUUCUUCGUGAGAUUAUUUGGAGUUUCUUUUCUUGAUUAAUCUUGCUAAUGGCCUAUCAAUUUCAUUUAUCUUUUCAAAGAAGCAGCUUUUUGUUUAUCUUGUGUGUUUUCCUUUGUUUAGAUUUCAUUUAGUUCUGCUCUGAUCUUGCUAAUUUCUUUUCUUCAGCUGGGUUUGCGCUUGGUUUGCUCUUGUUUCUCUCGUUCCUUGAGGUGUGACCUUAGAAUGUCAGUUUGUGCUCUUUCAAUCUUUUUGGUCAUAAUAUGCAGUAUCCUUUUAAAUGUCUAUUCAAUCUGUAGUGAUAUUAUUCUCCUCAUUCCUGAUAAAGCAAAUUUAAAUUUUCUCUAUUUGCUUAGUAGCCUUUCCAGGUGGUUACCAAUUUUAUUAAUCUUUUCAGAGAAACAUCUUUCGGGGCUGUCCAUUUCUGUUGCUUUCUACUUCAUUAAUUUCUGAUCUUAUAUUAUUUACUUCCUUCUAGUUUUCAUGUUAUUUGCUUUUGUUUUAGCUAAUGUUUCAUGUUAUUUGCUUUUGUUUCUAGCUAAUGGAAUUUUAGAUCAUUGAUUUUAAAUCUUAAUUUUUGAUACAAGCAUUAAGUCUAUAAAUUGUAUUGGGAGCACUCAGCUACACUCAAUUUUAGAGCCUGUCUUUUUCAUUCAAUUUGAAAUAUUUGAAAUAUUCAAUUUGAAUAUCCUUCUUAGACUCAUAAGUUAUUGAUAUGUGG